AAGAUAAAAAAGGUGAUCCACAAAAAAUAACAUUUUAAAGCGCGUUUUUUGCAGAAUUAUAAAUCAAAAGUACAUGUCUUUUAAAAUGCCGCGUCAAGAAAUUUAUUUACUAUUUUAAAAACUGUAAAACAUGCUCUUUUCUUUUUUGACAAAUAUUAACAUCUAAGUAAACAAAUUCAAUUUUGUCGGCAAACAUAAAAAUUGAGAAUUUUUUUACAGUUGAUAAUAGAAAUACUCAUUUACAGAUGAUGUUGGAGUUUAAAAAGUUAUUUUCAGUAAAACAUUCUUUUGUAACAAACCGUCGUUAAAAUUAAAUGGAGGAAGAAGGUGUUUGCAACGAAUUCGAUGAUUUAAAGGUUAAAAAACUUCCUCAAGAAGUGUUGAACACGCUUGCACAUGAAAUACCCAAUGACUGGAAAAAGCUUGCUCGUAGAUUGGAUAUUAGCGAUGAAAAAAUUGAUUGUGUGUUGAGUGAGUUUAAUACUGCCUUUGAACAAACCUAUCAAAUUCUAAACAGUUGGAUUAGAACGUAUCCUAAUAAAGUAUGGAUAGAUAUUAAAAAUGGAUUGGUUUAUUGCAAAAGAAACGAUGUAAUUGAUAAGUGUGAACGAAACAAGCCAAAAAAGAGAAAGAAAAAUGGCAGUAAGAAAGACAUAGCAAAGAAACAGAGGUUGUCAUCUCAUGUAACUGGCCCUGACUGUAAACGUAUAAGACUUAAAUGCUUUCAAACAGUCAAAGAAGAGAAUAGAGCCUUGCUCCUCGAGUCAUUCAAUGCGUUAUCAACAAAAGAUGCUCAGGUGAGUUCUUCUUUUAAGUUUUAAAUUAAACUCUUUAAGUAUAGUUCUAGACUAUUUUUUUAUUUAUAAUACUAGCUCUAGAUUUAGGUCUAGACCUAGAUUCAUAAUUUUAAUGCACCUGUUAUUCCACCAUGAACAUGUUGAUUAAAUAAGACAAAGAAUUUCUUAUUCUCAUUUUCAUUCAAAUUUAUUUAGGUCUAGAAUAGCUAGACCUGUACAUCUGAAUCAUAACCAUGGUAGACAUCUGGUUGUAUUACUGUGUUAUGAUACCCAAGGCUGGUAUUGUAUGUUUAAUAGGCAUUUUCAACUUAGUUUUUUAGUGGGGUGGACCCAAUAUCACAGUUCAUUGUUCUAUUUGAACGCAGCAUACCAACAAGCCUAGACGUCUAUCUAAUAAAAAAACUUCUUUAUAAAAUCGAUAAUUCCAUUAUGUUCAACUAUCUAUAAACAAUUCUUGAUAAAAUCGAUCAUUCUAUUAUGUUCAACUUUCUGAGUAGGUCCUAGCACAAAGCAGUGAAAUUUAUUAAUUCUAACAAAGUAGGUAGGCUUAUAUAUUUUUAAAUUUUAUAAAAAUGCUUGUGUUUGCAAAGAUGUGUGACCGGUUGCGUUAAUAAUCUUAUAUUGCUUCUUUUUACAGGAUUCCUAUCUUGCUUCACUGAUCACAGUCGCCGAGAUUAGCCGAAAAAGACAUCGAAAGGAAGAGCCUAAAAGUGCAAACAGUCACAGCUAUCACUAUAAAGUAUUCCUGAAGAGUACAGAUGAUGUUGACCCAGAUUCAUUUGCCUAUGUUUGCUUUCAAGCCUUCAUCUCCAUCUUUGGAAUUAAGAAACGGAGACUUGAGACUAUCAAGAGAAGUCUUGCUAAUACAGGCCUGCCUCCUGUUGAUGGACGAGGAAAGCAUGGCAGUCAUCACAAAAUAUCUGAUGAACUGCGACAGAGAAUAAGAGACCACAUCUCUUCGUUUAGGGGUCGGCAGUCUCAUUACUCACAAGAGAAGACGAGACGGCUGUACCUGCCAGAAGAACUCAGCAUCUCCAAGAUGUUUGAUUUAUAUCAAGAGAAGUGGCCAGGAGACAUUUUAGUGUAUGAGUCAUACAGGCUUAUAUUCAACAACGAUUUUAACAUUGGAAUUGGGUACCCAAGAACCGACACUUGCUCAGCCUGCGACCAGUUCUUGGUAAAAAUAGAAAUUGCUACAAAGAUUCUUGAAUCAGACCCAACAAAUGAAGUCCUCAUAAGGAACCUGAAGCAGUUAAAACUUUAAAAAGAUCUCCACCAGCGAAAGGCUGACACAUUCUACCGGAGAAAAAGAGACGCUAAGCGAAGGGCCAAGAUUACACCUCAUCUUGAGGCCUUUACGUUUGACUACCAAAAAAAUCUCAACCUACCCAACAAGUCCACCAAUGACUUUUACUACAACAGAAAGCUCACAUACCAAUCAUUUAACAUUCACCAAGUAUCAACUGAUGAUGUUUUUCUUUAUUGCUAUGAUGAGACUGUCGCUAGGAAAGGUUCAGAUGAGGUGGCUUCUUUCCUGUAUGACCACAUCACAACCUAGGUCAGCGAAGAGGUUACUCACCUUGAACUAUUCUGCGAUUCCUGCUCAGGACAGAAUAAGAACUUUACCCUGAUUCAGUUUUUAGAUUAUAUGGUGCACCAUAGGAAAAGGUUUACCUCAGUGACAGUGACAUUCCCUGAGCGCGGACAUUCUUAUAUGGAGUGUGACAGAGACAUGGGUCCAGUAAAUACAAAGUCUAGUGCUAGUGUUCCAGAAGACUGGAUAAAAAUAUUUAGUGAAGCACGAAAACAUCCUACACCAUUUAACGUGACUUUUGUUAAACAGGAUCUGGUCAAAAACUUCUCCGGCUUUCUAAGGCCAUUGUAUAAGAAAAGCUGCCCGUUCCCCACGCGCCCCAUUCGGGAAAUGGUUUUUAACAAGGAUGAAGGUCCAGGGACCGUUUGUCACAGAGACUCAUGGAACGGUAUUUUCUUGAAAACAAACAUUAUUGUUCCAACGAGAAAAAACAAUUUUUCAGUAUGCACAGCCGUGCCAGUAGCUUUGUAUGAAGACAGACUGGCUAUAUCAGCUGCAAAGUACAAAGACCUCCAAGUCUUAAAAAAAUUUACCACCAAUGAGGCAUUCUAUGAUGCUCUGCCGUAUGACGAUAAAGUUGAAGAUGAGGGUCAAGACCAGUGAAUGUUCAUGCAUUUUUUAUUUUUUUAUUUGUUUAAAAUAAAAAAAAAUUUUAAAUUCAAUGGUUUUAUAUACUUAUUUCUUAUGCGUUACAAUAGAAAAACAGGCAAAGUCCUAAUCAACGGAAAAAACAGCAGAGUCCAAUCUGAACACAUUUUGAAAAAACAAAAUUUUCCAUAAGCUCACAUGAUUUUCAGAAUAUUUAUUUGUUAAAAUUUGAUGCUUAAAUGGAUGACCUUCCCUUAAAAAUUAAAAGAAUUGACAGUUUCUCACAUAAUUUGUAAUAAAAAGGUUUCAAACCUUUAAUUUAGGUUUUCUCAAAAUGUAAAAAAUGUGACUCGGCUGUUUUUUCCAUUGUGCUCUUCAUAUGUGUAUUUAAUGUUUGGUCAUUAUAUUUUAUUGGUAAUGUGAAUGUAAACAAUGUUCUAUUAAAGUAAUGUAAACUAUUACAUUUCACAAUUCGCAAUUGUAAAUUUAAAUUUGAGAGUUAAAUAUGGACAA